ensembl:lncRNA
AUGAGAGCAGAGGGCCUGCAUUCCUCGGUGCAGUACCAAAUCCUCAUGGGACAGACCUCAUUAGUGGGCUGGCUGUUCCCAGGCUGUCUCAUAGCCACUGUUCCAUGUAUGUGUGUUCUACAAGACACCUGCCUCGGUGAGGCGGCACGGGGGAGUUCAGCGACGUCUGCACGCGGACGGGACGUUCUCGAGGGAGCAGCUCGCCUCGUGGUGUCUUCUCAACCUUGGAGGAAUUGUAAAUGCACAGAAACAACACGCCGUCCUCCCUUUGCUCCAUGCCGUCAUGCACUGAAGUGUCCCUGAGAGACGCUUAGCACAUCACUCAGUGACUCUGUGGUUCCAGACAGCUUUGACCCCUUCCCCCCCCCUCUGUUGUUGACCCGGGCUGCGCCUGACAGCUUCUCAUGUCACAUUCUGUCUUUGGUUUCACUUUAUUUUUCAGCCCGAAGACAAGCGCAAGGACAAGGGGGGCGGGGGGGUGGUAGAGGCGGGGUGUUGAAACACUGUUCAGACUUUUAUGAGUGUGGCAGGAGAGAGCCGCCUUGUUGUGUACGUGGAGAGACAAAUACCCGAUGCCCCCCCCCACCUUUCAGCCACUUCAUAAAUCAUGACCUGGGACACGAGGACUGUGGCAGGUUGUGGCCUCUGUUUGUAGAGAAACCAAAGGCAAAUACGUACUUUAUAUCAUUUGAGUAAAUCAGCAGUAAAACGGCUCAUAUAACAUUUAAUUACAUGGUUUUUAUACAAGUGAGGUCAACUUACCUGAUGGUUCAUCCAGCUACUGUUUAUAUCAGCUGUGUAAAUCAUAAUAAUAAUAAUAAUCAUGGAGUCAAACGGGAUUUUUUUUGUGGUCCACUUUGCGUGUCUCUCAACCCUUUGCAGUCACUUAGCGAAGCAUCGUCCAGAGCCCAGAUCCUCCGUAGACGCUCGUGCAUGUGCUGUAAUCUAUAGCGCCAACCUCCACCUAUGUUGCUACAUCAGUUUGACCCCCUGGUUAUAUUCUUCAAGCGCAUAUCACGGACCCAUCUGUGGGUUUCUCUCUGAAAUCACUUUUACAUUUCCCAAAGAUUAGAUAAUAUCUAUUCAGGCCGGUCGGGUGGUGGGUCGCUGAAGGUUUGGAAGCCCGUCGCAGCUCUGAUAGCUUGAUUGAGCAGCAGCAGGUGGCGCGGCCGAGCGAAAUAUCAAUUAAUCCGCGGCCAAAGUUCAGAAACCGAGCUGAAGUUGGAAAUGAUAAUAGUUUAAUAUUGUAAUGGAAUGUGGCACGGAGACAGGCGGGCUGAUAGGGGUGGACUGUUAUACUAGGAAGUGGUUGAAAUGAUCCACUGAUAUCGGGCCAACGGCUGGUGAGAGGCACAAGAAAGGUAAACACAGAGACAGGAACGCACAGGAGUUGCACGCCAAGGCUGAGGUGACAGUGAGCGCCGGAGCCAAGGCCUCCCUCGCUGAUCACAACACAAUUGACUGAUAAGCAACUUGUGCAAUACACGGAGGCAGGCGCGUGCUCACCCUUCUCUCACGGCGUCCUUCCCAUUCCUUUGAAAGUGGAGGAUUUCGACAUCGUUAACAGCCACGGGGCAGAAUAGACGGGCAAAGUAUGAAGGCGAAACUGGAUAUCAGGUCCAACGCCUUGCACAGAUCUUUAACACACACACAGUAAGCAUUGCUUAUGACGUGGGACAAGACACUAUAUAAUGGAAUAUACUGUAUUCUUACGAUACUGUAAGGAAAACUUGAUCUGGAUGAAUUACCCUUUUGAUGACCAGUUUUUCCACGGGCUUUUAAGAUAUGACUUGAAAUCCAUAAAAAUGUAGAGAACACCCUCCCACGCACACGCAUGUAUAACAGGUUUCUCACUUCCCUGUUAUUCUUCGCAAACGGGGAUUUAUGCUGUGGACGGAUCUGCGAAGUGACGCCACUAUCCGGCAUCCGCCGCAAACUAAAGGCACACGUCUUCCGACUCCACCUGGACUAAAAACACUAACAAAUUGUAGCACAAAUUGCACUUACAAUGGCUCUUAUCCAUAGCAAGUUGUUGUUCUUUUGAGUUUCUAUCCUUAUGGUUGAAAUGCACUUAUCGUAAGUCGCUUUGGACAAAAGCGUCAGCUAAAUGAUAUAUAAUGUAAUGUAAUGUAAAUAGGAUGUCUCACUUUCUGCCUCUUCGCCACGUGAUGAUGUACUGGAGUAGGCCCCAUCUGACACACAGAUUUGGGGUACUCUACGCACAGGCGUUUAUUUAUGAUUGAACCUGUGCCGGUGGAAUGCGGGAUGGAUACUGUACAAUAACUGUUAUGAUUUACUGUCCAUGACAACAGGUACACUGCCUUUCAUUUUGGUUCAUAAAUCAGGUAAAUGGGAGGAGGAGCAGCCGUUCAUGGUGGCAACACAAGCCGGAGCAGCUCCCGCUUUUAAUUCUGUGGUUACACGUGAAAACACUCACACACAGACAUCAACAACCUCCUCCUGGGGAGAAAGGCGUUACAUAUAUUUACCCCUUAACAUUACCUAAUGGCCAAUUAUGUUUUUUCGUCGUAUCGCAUGACAACAGAUCUUACUCCACUUUAGAAGCAGUAGUACUGUUAUUUUCUAGUUUUCAUUUAGUUUGAACGAUUCUUUUCUAAACCAGUAGUUUCUAUGAUCAUUCUUAUCUUUUGGAUGUUUUUCUACUUACAGGCUGUUUCCAUAGAUGUGUUUUCCCCUGUAGGGAGUAUCAGACGCAGCUCUGCGCUCAUUGGUCUUGUCUCAGAGUAGAUUGACUUGCAUUAUAACCACGGAGAUAAAGCUGGUUGUGUCUAUCCAUAUAUAUAUCUGUACGUAUAUAGAUCUAGAUCUAGAUAUAUCGAUCUAUUUAGCCUGUUCUGCU